ACUUAUGGCUAUAUCACGUUGAAUGCACCAAUUCUCGUCCGAUCAUCAAAGUUAAGCAAUGUCAAGCCUAGUUAGUACUUAAAUGGGUAACUGCUUGGGAAAUGUAGGUACUGUAAGCA
rnacentral:rRNA from 1 species